rnacentral:rRNA from 1 species
AUUGAACGCUGGCGGCAGGCUUAACACAUGCAAGUCGAGCGGGGUGAUGGUGCUUGCACUAUCACUUAGCGGCGGACGGGUGAGUAAUGCUUAGGAAUCUGCCUAUUAGUGGGGGACAACAUCUCGAAAGGGAUGCUAAUACCGCAUACGUCCUACGGGAGAAAGCAGGGGAUCACUUGUGACCUUGCGCUAAUAGAUGAGCCUAAGUCGGAUUAGCUAGUUGGUGGGGUAAAGGCCUACCAAGGCGACGAUCUGUAGCGGGUCUGAGAGGAUGGUCCGCCAAACUGGGACUGGGGAACGGCCCAGAAUCCUACGGGAGGCAGCAGUGGGGCAUAUUUGACAAUGGGGGGAACCCUGAUCCAGCCAUGCCGCGUGUGUGAAGAAGGCCUUAUGGUUGUAAAGCACUUUAAGCGAGGAGGAGGCUCUUUUGGUUAAUACCCAAGAUGAGUGGACGUUACUCGCAGAAUAAGCACCGGCUAACUCUGUGCCAGCCGCCGCCGUAA